CUGCGGCGCUCGAGGUCAAAGUCCUCCUCCAUGGCGUCUCAAACACAAACUCCUGUAGUGCGUUUACUGAAAGACACGACAGAACACAGGACUUCCUACACACUCUUCCCCUUACACAACUACCAGAAAAGGCUUAUCCAGCUGUCUUCUUCACCAUCACCAUCAUCACCUCUCUCUCUGUAUCUGGCUAUAACACAUCCUCAUCCGCGCACCGAAUUAUAAGGCACAUUAUGUGACACUAGUAAGGACAGGAGUGUUUUCCUUCUAAUUCAGCAGGUCUCACCACUGGGGGGUGGGGUAACUAAAGUAAAGAUACAUGGAGAAAACAAAACUGUAA